UGGGGAAUAUUGCACAAUGGGCGCAAGCCUGAUGCAGCGACGCCGCGUGAGGGAUGACGGCCUUCGGGUUGUAAACCUCUUUCACCAGGGACGAAGCGCAAGUGACGGUACCUGGAGAAGAAGCACCGGCCAACUACGUGCCAGCAGCCGCGGUAAUACGUAGGGUGCGAGCGUUGUCCGGAAUUACUGGGCGUAAAGAGCUCGUAGGUGGUUUGUCGCGUUGUUCGUGAAAACUCACAACUCAAUUGUGGGCGUGCGGGCGAUACGGGCAGACUAGAGUACUGCAGGGGAGACUGGAAUUCCUGGUGUAGCGGUGGAAUGCGCAGAUAUCAGGAGGAACACCGGUGGCGAAGGCGGGUCUCUGGGCAGUAACUGACGCUGAGGAGCGAAAGCGUGGGGAGCGAACAGGAUUAGAUACCCUGGUAGUCCACGCCGUAAACGGUGGGUACUAGGUGUGGGUUCCUUCCUUGGGAUCCGUGCCGUAGCUAACGCAUUAAGUACCCCGCCUGGGGAGUACGGCCGCAAGGCUAAAACUCAAAUGAAUUGAC
rnacentral:rRNA from 1 species